CCUACGGGGGGCUGCAGUGGGGAAUAUUGGACAAUGGGGGCAACCCUGAUCCAGUCAUGCCGCGUGUGUGAAGAAGGCCCUCGGGUUGUAAAGCACUUUCAGUGAGGAAGAACGCCUGGUGGUUAAUACCCAUCAGGAAAGACAUCACUCACAGAAGAAGCACCGGCUAACUCCGUGCCAGCAGCCGCGGUAAUACGGAGGGUGCGAGCGUUAAUCGGAAUUACUGGGCGUAAAGCGCGCGUAGGUGGCUUGAUAAGCCGGUUGUGAAAGCCCCGGGCUCAACCUGGGAACGGCAUCCGGAACUGUCAAGCUAGAGUGCAGGAGAGGAAGGUAGAAUUCCCGGUGUAGCGGUGAAAUGCGUAGAGAUCGGGAGGAAUACCAGUGGCGAAGGCGGCCUUCUGGACUGACACUGACACUGAGGUGCGAAAGCGUGGGUAGCAAACAGGAUUAGAUACCCGGGUAGUC
rnacentral:rRNA from 1 species